UACGAAGGGGGCUAGCGUUGCUCGGAAUCACUGGGCGUAAAGGGUGCGUAGGCGGGUUUUUAAGUCAGGGGUGAAAUCCUGGAGCUCAACUCCAGAACUGCCUUUGAUACUGGCGACCUUGAGUUCGGGAGAGGUGAGUGGAACUGCGAGUGUAGAGGUGAAAUUCGUAGAUAUUCGGAAGAACACCAGUGGCGAAGGCGACUCACUGGCCCGAUACUGACGCUGAGGCGCGAAAGCGUGGGGAGCAAACAGG
rnacentral:rRNA from 1 species